CUGUGACAGUGCCAAACGAGCAUGACCUCUUCUAAUCCUGCGUUCUACUUCUGCCAGCAAGCUUUGUAAAUAGCGCAAGAAGUCUCUUUCAUAGCCCACUUUCAUAAAACGAGAGCUCUUCUCAUACUGUUUACGUAGAUUUUCAUCAUGAAUUUUUUCACAAGGACCUAAAUCAGAGCGGGUAUUUGUGAAUAACUCAGCUGGGCAAAAGCCACAAAGGUAGUAUUUACAAACGCUCUCGUGGUCC
rnacentral:lncRNA from 1 species